UACAGAGGGUGCAAGCGUUGUUCGGAAUUAUUGGGCGUAAAGCGCGUGUAGGCGGCUUUGCAAGUCGGGUGUGAAAGCCCUCAGCUUAACUGAGGAAGUGCGCCCGAAACUGCAGAGCUUGAAUACCGGAGAGGAUGGCGGAAUUCCCCAAGUAGAGGUGAAAUUCGUAGAUAUGGGGAGGAACACCGGUGGCGAAGGCGGCCAUCUGGACGGCUAUUGACGCUGAGACGCGAAAGCGUGGGGAGCAACCAGG
rnacentral:rRNA from 1 species